ensembl:lncRNA
ACUCAGCAGCUACACUAGAAGGAUAGAACAAGGAAAGCAUGGGACUGAAGAGUAAGAGUGUACCUGAGGCUCUGAACUGUGAAGUGGGUGUUGGCAGGAGUCCCUGAACAGGGCAGUCAGGUCAGAGUGUGCUCAAGGUUGAAGGAGACAAUGGACACGUUGCUAAAGACUGGGGGCAGGCACACCACUGAAACAUAUAGACAUAUAGAGAGAGAGGGAGGGAGACGCAGACAAAAAAAAUAUAAAAUGAUAAGACAGUCACAGAACAGGACAGCCAGAGAGACAGGUAUUAAACAGGACACCAGCCAGAAAGACAGGUAUUAAACAGGACACCAGCCAGAAAGACAGGUAUUAAACAGGACACCAGCCAGAGACAGGUAUUAAACAGGACACCAGCCAGAGACAGGUAUUAAACAGGACACCAGCCAGAGACAGGUAUUAAACAGGACACCAGCCAGAGA